GGUUGGAGUCCCACACAAGGGAACCACUGGCAAAGGAGCCGUUUCAAACUGUGCUCCUCUGAGCUGUCUGCCUCUCUCUGUUUGUAUUCGCUGGGAGACUGCAUGCACCUGUGUGUUCCAGCACUCACUGCUCUUCUGGUCUCAUUCCAACUGGUUGUUUAUCAAUGUUGUCAUGUUAACAGCUCGUGCUGCAGUCAGCUGGAGAGGAGCAGAACUGGACCUGGUAGAUCCUCAAUAACAAAAACUCUGAGCAAAGGAAUUGUGUUUGGAGAGUUUCUGCCUCCAUCUUGAGACGAAAGAAAUCUGAGGAACAAACUUGCCUGGCUGGACUGAAGGACUGACAACAAGCAGACUUGUGUGGAAAAGGGUGGCUGUAGAAACUUCAGUAUUGGGUGGCGAGCAACAACCACGUUCCCCCCGGUAACCUGUUUUAUGCUGAAGCAUUGGCCUACACUACUCCUCAAGCCUGACUGCUUCUGAUUCCAGAGGACGUUUGACCAUCAGGUACAGCCUGUGCCCUGCUGACCAAAGAACUACAGAUUCUUCACAACCUGCUCAAACUCUUGGUACAGGACCUCACCACACGGGUCAAGAAGGUUUCUGUCUCAUUUCUACUCUGAAGCUCACCUUCUCCUGCUCAGACUGCUGACAAAUGUUUCUGCUGCUCUAAAGUCUGGUCUCCAGAACUUCCUAAAAACUCUCAAAGUCUCUUCUGCUGCAGGUUGCUUUGUAGAACUGUUACAGAAAACCUCACUAAACCACAUGGAGGGGCCUCAAGAUAGUCGUCCAAAUGAAACUAUACAAAAACCAAACUAGUACAACCCAAACGCUAAAGUCUCCUGCAGCCUACCAGAGAACCUCUGAGAACAGAGAAUCAGGACAGGAACUCUUACCUUCUGGACAACCAACGCUGGUUCUCAAACAAGAAUACAGAAUGUGUCUGACCAAACACCUCUAAAGACUCACUACAGCCAAGAUAAAGACACAACUCAGCUGCACCAAAUCCACUAAUCACUGCAAACAUCAGCACCAUGUGCUAACUGUGGCUAAAGAACCACAUUUACCAAGACAACUAUCCAGUACAAAGCCCUAAAACACACCAAGAGACACAUUAAAGACGAUUUUACUGCUGGAAGCUGCAAGCCAACGCCUAAAGAACCAACUAAAGCAAUGGAGCCAAACCCGGUUCAGUGGUGAAGAGAAACAGAGGAAAUGUUUGUCUGCAGCCAAAUAAAGCAGGAAGACACUGAGGUGCUCAGGUGUUCCUGAUAACACCAAGCAGCCACCUGGACAGCCAAUAGGAACACAGCUUACUGGAAGUCCAGAGGGCUGGGUUAGUGAAGUAAAUUUAAUUUAAAGUUGAGGCAGAAAGUUAACAAAGAAAGUUGAAAACCACCUUCUGAUACCUGAAAUCUCUGAGUUUUCACACAAAGAACACCUGAACAUGUCAAACUGGUUUCAUAGUAGAACCAUCAUUGUAAAAACGUCAUAGUAUGGUGUGUUGCUCAAAAAACAUUACGACCCGGCUGUCUAGGGUCUCCGAGGAACAACACAAAAAGAGGACAAUGUUUUGACAUUUAAUAACUGAGUCCUGAAAUAAAUUUACAGUUGUGGAUUUCUGUCAUUUAGUCUGGACUAAACAAAUAACAGCAGCAUAAAUCUCAAACAUCAUUAUGAGGAGUCUGGAUUGAGGUUUCUCACUUGAUAAUGAUCAAAACAUGAAAUUUAGGUCGGUUUAAAGGAAUAUUCCACCUUAAAUCUUUGAAUGUUGAUCUAAAAGGUUGGUUUCAGGAAUUAUUUCACCUACAAGGUCCUCAAACAUUCACCUUAAAGGAACAUUCCACCAAAAAUCCUUGGACAUGCACCUAAAAUGUUGGUUUAACCAAGUAUUCCAUCCAAAAUCCUCAGAGACCUGAGGGGCUGGGUAAAAGGAAUAUUCCACCUGAAAUGUAGACCUGAGAAGUUGUUUUGGAAGAAUAUACCAUCCUAAACAUCCUUAAAUGUAGACUAAAAGAGGGUUUGGAAGAAAAUUCCACCUAAAAUCCUCCAAUGUAGGCCUAAAAGGUGAGUUUAAUGGUAUAUUCCACCUAAAAUUCCCUACUGUAGACCUUGGAGGUUGGUCUGAUGGUAUAUUCCACCCAACAUCCUUGAACAUAAACUUAAAAAGUUCGUUAAAAAGGAAUAUUCAAGCUAAAAUCCUUCAAUGUAGACCAAAAUAUCUUGGUGUAAAGGAGUAUUCCACCUUAAAUGUAGACCUAAAGGAUGGUUUGGAGUAAUAUUCUACUCUAAACUCUUCCAAUGUAGACCUAAAAGGUUGAUCUGAUGGUAUAUUCUACCCAACAUCUUGGAACAUUUACCGAAAAGGUUGGUUUAAUGGUAUAUUCCCAGAAGAACCCUUGAACAUCAGGCUUAAUGGUAUAUUCACCCAAAAUACUUGUGCAUAUACCAAGAAGUCAGUGUAAAGGAAAUGUAGACCUAAAAGGAUUGUUUAAAUGAAUAUUUAAACGAUUAUUUUCAUUAUUUAAUAAUCUGUUAACAGUCAGAACCCUGGCAAACAUAUUUUCAUCAGUUUUUUAGUGGAAGUCACAAAUAAAGGAGCUCUUGGUUUUUCCUGG